GGUUUAUUAUAUCUCGCUGCUGGUCAUUUUCCCUCAUGCAGUCGGCGUGGCCUCCCCCGCAGCGCCCUCCCGCUCGCACCGCGGUGGCCAGGGACGCGUCCCCGGCAGUCGCCACGAGGACGUCGAUCUUGCGGGCCGUGGACGCCAAAUCUGUGCUGCAGAGUCCCAACUGCUCCCUCUCAAUUCUGAUCUUGGCCUAAAGAGGACCACCCGCCGCCGUCCGCUCCUUGCAGGAGAGAAUGUGCCGCUUACCUCUGCGGCCCGUCACCAGCCUGCAGACGCUCCCACCGCCCCUCCCUGGGCACCAUCCAUGACGGAAGUCGCUGGCUCCGUCACCGAGCGGUUUGGUCCCAGCUGCGAGGUGAUUGAUGGCACCGCCUCGGAGAGCACUCUUAGGGGAGCUGUUUACCCCCAUCUUCCAUCUGGAGCUGCUGGGACAUCGUUCACUGUGAUGAUGGCCACUGAAUGAGCUGCACUGGCAGGGCCUCGGUGACAAGGAAGGAUGGCGGCCGGGGAGCCGGCCCAGAGUCAAAGGAUGUCAGGGAAAUGAAUGGAGUCACGCACCGAGACAGCCAACUCUUCUCAAAUGUGGUGGGGCGGCGAGUCAGAAAGAAGGACGGUGCACAGCUUUCAGAACUAUGAAAUGGGGAAAUAUUAUGUUCCUCUGUUCUUUCAGCUGGAGGUUACUUCCCAGAGAUUUAUUUCAGAUCAAGGAAACACGCUCCUUAUGACUGAGACGUAAUGACUUGGUUGACAGCUGCCUAUUGUUCGUAACGUAUCCGGCCGCAUUCGAUGAUCCACUUGUCCUGGGGCCGGCGUCCAGUAGUCGCCCGGGCGCGUUAGCAACCGGCCUAAGAGGUGCCGGGUCUCUGGAAUCUGCAUUAUUAUGUGUUAGAUACAGGCCGGAGAGGUAUGGGUCUGCAGAAUCUAAACCCGUUUCCGCCCUGUGUUCCGGGGGCGCAGACACGUCCACCGGGGCAGCCCGGGAGCGGCCCCCCACGGUCAUCUGGGUGCGCCCAGCCCGCCAG
rnacentral:lncRNA from 1 species